rnacentral:rRNA from 1 species
CCUACGGGGGGCAGCAGUAGGGAAUAUUGCACAAUGGGGGAAACCCUGAUGCAGCGACGCCGCGUGAGCGAAGAAGUAUUUCGGUAUGUAAAGCUCUAUCAGCAGGGAAGAAAAUGACGGUACCUGAGUAAGAAGCUCCGGCUAAAUACGUGCCAGCAGCCGCGGUAAUACGUAUGGAGCAAGCGUUAUCCGGAUUUACUGGGUGUAAAGGGAGCGUAGACGGCGAUGCAAGUCUGAAGUGAAAGGCGGGGGCCCAACCCCCGGACUGCUUUGGAAACUGUAUAGCUGGAGUGCAGGAGAGGUAA